GCUACUAGUGGCGCACGGGUGAGUAAUACGUGGAUAAUCUGCCCUUUAGUGGGGAAUAACCAACCGAAAGGUUGGCUAAUACCGCAUAAGACCACAGUCACUUCGGUGACAGAGGUUAAAGAUUUAUCGCUAUAGGAUGAGUCCACGUGGGAUUAGCUAGUUGGUGAGGUAAAGGCUCACCAAGGCUACGAUCUCUAGCUGGUCUGAGAGGAUGAUCAGCCACACUGGAACUGAGACACGGUCCAGACUCC
rnacentral:rRNA from 1 species